rnacentral:rRNA from 1 species
GACAAACCGUGCGAACGUUGUUCGGAUUCACUGGGCUUAAAGGGCGCGUAGGCGGCUUGCCAAGUCAGUGGUGAAAUCUUUCGGCUCAACCGGAAAAUGGCUGCUGAUACUGGCAGGCUGGAGGGAGGUAGGGGCAGAUGGAACUUCCGGUGGAGCGGUGAAAUGCGUAGAUAUCGGAAGGAACGCCGGUGGCGAAAGCGAUCUGCUGGACCUCUUCUGACGCUGAUGCGCGAAAGCCAGGGGAGCAAACGGG